GACGAACGCUGGCGGCGUGCCUAAUACAUGCAAGUAGAACGCUGAAGAGAGGAGCUUGCUCUUCUUGGAUGAGUUGCGAACGGGUGAGUAACGCGUAGGUAACCUGCCUUGUAGCGGGGGAUAACUAUUGGAAACGACAGCUAAUACCGCAUAACAAUGGAUGACUCAUGUCAUUUAUUUGAAAGGGGCAAAUGCUCCACUACAAGAUGGACCUGCGUUGUAUUAGCUAGUAGGUGAGGUAACGGCUCACCUAGGCGACGAUACAUAGCCGACCUGAGAGGGUGAUCGGCCACACUGGGACUGAGACACGGCCCAGACUCCUACGGGAGGCAGCAGUAGGGAAUCUUCGGCAAUGGGGGCAACCCUGACCGAGCAACGCCGCGUGAGUGAAGAAGGUUUUCGGAUCGUAAAGCUCUGUUGUAAGUCAAGAACGAGUGUGAGAGUGGAAAGUUCACACUGUGACGGUAGCUUACCAGAAAGGGACGGCUAACUACGUGCCAGCAGCCGCCGUAA
rnacentral:rRNA from 1 species